GACGAACGCUGGCGGCGUGCCUAAUACAUGCAAGUCGAGCGAAUGGAUUAAGAGCUUGCUCUUAUGAAGUUAGCGGCGGACGGGUGAGUAACACGUGGGUAACCUGCCCAUAAGACUGGGAUAACUCCGGGAAACCGGGGCUAAUACCGGAUAACAUUUUGAACCGCAUGGUUCGAAAUUGAAAGGCGGCUUCGGCUGUCACUUAUGGAUGGACCCGCGUCGCAUUAGCUAGUUGGUGAGGUAACGGCUCACCAAGGCAACGAUGCGUAGCCGAACUGAGAGGGUGAUAGGCCACACUGGGACUGAGAGACGGCCCAGACUCCUACGGGAGGCAGCAGUAGGGAAUCUUCCGCAAGGGACGAAAGUCUGACGGAGCAACGCCGCGUGAGUGAUGAAGGCUUUCGGGUCGUAAAACUCUGUUGUUAGGGAAGAACAAGUGCUAGUUGAAUAAGCUGACACCUUGACGGUACCUAACCAGAAAGCCACGGCUAACUACGUGCCAGCAGCCGCAGUAA
rnacentral:rRNA from 1 species